rnacentral:rRNA from 1 species
GCCUACGGCCAUACCACCCUGAGAACGCCCGAUCUCGUCUGAUCUCGGAAGCUAAGCAGGGUCGGGCCCGGUUAGUACUUGGAUGGGAGACCGCCUGCCGGGUGCUGUAGGCA